ensembl:lncRNA
AAUAUAUCUGGAGUUCAGCCAUUCAGGCACUCAUAGGCCACUAAGGCCAUGGUCCAAGGGGCCAGGUUAAUGCUCAAGCUGGUGGUAGACCUUGGUAUCAUUCACAUGGUGCUGGUUUUUCAGUCAUGCAGAAUGCAAGAGUUGUGAGGUCAUGGAGGCUUCCAGCCAGAUUUCAGAAGAAGGCUUGGGAGGCCAGGCAGUGUGUCCCUGAGAGGGCGAUGUGCAAAGCUAUGAGAGUGAAGGCAAAAGAGCAAUGGAGACUCCCAAGAAGUUGGAGAUGCCCGGAACAUGAGAUAUCUGCCAAAGAAAACUAGGAAGCAAGGAGAGCCAGCCUGAGAGAGGGCAUGGAUUGAACUCAGGACCUUGUGCUUGCCAGGAAGCCACCAGCACCACUGAGCUAAAUCCCCGGCCCGGAGUGAACAGUGGAGAACGAAAUGUACUUCUGCCUUACCAAACCUGUGGCCCUUGAAGGGCAAUGCUUUCUAUCUGGUCCAAAACAUUUUUUCUUGCUGUGAAGUUCAGGCUGGGCUUGAACUCACUAUAUAGACCAGGCUGGCCUUGAAUGUAUGGUGACCCUCCUGCCUCACCCUCCUGAGUGCUGGGAUUACAGGUAUGUGCCACCAUGCCUGGUACUGAUAGAGUUUUGUUAUAAGUCCG